UACCUGGUCUUGACAUCCACAGAACUUUCCAGAGAUGGAUUGGUGCCUUCGGGAACUGUGAGACAGGUGCUGCAUGGCUGUCGUCAGCUCGUGUUGUGAAAUGUUGGGUUAAGUCCCGCAACGAGCGCAACCCUUAUCCUUUGUUGCCAGCGGUCCGGCCGGGAACUCAAAGGAGACUGCCAGUGAUAAACUGGAGGAAGGUGGGGAUGACGUCAAGUCAUCAUGGCCCUUACGACCAGGGCUACACACGUGCUACAAUGGCAUAUACAAAGAGAAGCGACCUCGCGAGAGCAAGCGGACCUCAUAAAGUA
rnacentral:rRNA from 1 species